rnacentral:rRNA from 1 species
GACGAACGCUGGCGGCGUGCUUAACACAUGCAAGUCGAACGGUGAAGCGCCUUCCUUUUUGGUGGGUGUGGAUGAGUGGCGAACGGGUGAGUAACACGUGAGUAACCUGCCCCCUUCUCCUGGAUAACCGCAUGAAAGUGUGGCUAAUACGGGAUAUUCUGGUUCUGUCGCAUGAUGGGUCUGGGAAAGAUAUUGUUUCGGUGGGGGAUGGGCUCGCGGCGUAUCAGCUUGUUGGUGGGGUGAUGGCCUACCAAGGGGGUGACGGGUAGCCGGCCUGGGAGGGUGGACGGUCACACUGGGACUGAGACACGGCCCAGACUCAUACGGGAGGCAGCAGUGGGGAAUAUUGCACAAUGGGCGAAAGCCUGAUGCAGCGACGCCGCGUGAGGGAUGGAGGCCUUCGGGUUGUGAACCUCUUUCGCCAGUGAAGCAGGCCUGCCUCGUUUGUGGGUGGGUUGACGGUAGCUGGAUAAGAAGCGCCGGCUAACUACGUG